rnacentral:rRNA from 1 species
CACCCUUUAAUGUUUGAUGUUCUAACGUUGACCCGUAAUCCGGGUUGCGGACAGUGUCUGGUGGGUAGUUUGACUGGGGCGGUCUCCUCCUAAAGAGUAACGGAGGAGCACGAAGGUUGGCUAAUCCUGGUCGGACAUCAGGAGGUUAGUGCAAUGGCAUAAGCCAGCUUGACUGCGAGCGUGACGGCGCGAGCAGGUGCGAAAGCAGGUCAUAGUGAUCCGGUGGUUCUGAAUGGAAGGGCCAUCGCUCAACGGAUAAAAGGUACUCCGGGGAUAACAGGCUGAUACCGCCCAAGAGUUCAUAUCGACGGCGGUGUUUGGCACCUCGAUGUCGGCUCAUCACAUCCUGGGGCUGAAGUAGGUCCCAAGGGUAUGGCUGUUCGCCAUUUAAAGUGGUACGCGAGCUGGGUUUAGAACGUCGUGAGACAGUUCGGUCCCUAUCUGCCGUGGGCGCUGGAGAACUGAGGGGGGCUGCUCCUAGUACGAGAGGACCGGAGUGGACGCAUCACUGGUGUUCGGGUUGUCAUGCCAAUGGCACUGCCCGGUAGCUAAAUGCGGAAGAGAUAAGUGCUGAAAGCAUCUAAGCACGAAACUUGCCCCGAGAUGAGUUCUCCCUGACUCCUUGAGAGUCCUGAAGGAACGUU